AUAUAAGUAAGCGGAGGAAAAGAAACUAACUAGGAUUCCCUUAGUAAUGGCGAAUGAACAGGGAAGAGCUCAAUGCCCAAUCGCAGUUUCACGAUUGCGACAUGUGGUUUCGGUGGGUAACCAGUGCUGGUCUCGGUGAAAGUCUCCUGGAAUGGAGCGCCAUGGAGGGUGACAGCCCCGUGUGAGACUGGGAGUCCGCCGCGUACGACACGUUUUCCGAGAGUCGGGUUGCUUUGUAGUGCAGCCUUAAUCGGGUGGUAAAUUCCAUCCAAAGCUAAAUACCUGUUGGAGACCGAUAGCGCACAAGUA
rnacentral:rRNA from 1 species